AAAAUCGAUUAACUCCGCCUACUCGACGUAUGAUAACCUUUAACACUGUCCCUCAUAAUUUCUAGUCCAUAAAUUCUAUACACCCUCGCCAGCGAAGAGUGCGACGCCACCAAUCGACGCCACCAUCCGGUAAAUAAAACAAACACGAACCCUAUUUUCCCAAGGAAAACCUAUCACAUCAUAAUCCACACCUUAAACCAAACAGAACUGUAAUAGCUAUCCAUGAUUCAAAGAAAGAAACAAACAGGAGCAAGCAUGACAGAAUCAAAGGUGUUUCAAUCAAAUUAGCUACAAAUCUCACGACACAGUGG
rnacentral:lncRNA from 1 species